UACGGGGGGGGCAAGCGUUGUUCGGGAUUACUGGGCGUAAAGGGCUCGUAGGUGGCCAACUAAGUCAGACGUGAAAUCCCUCAGCUUAACUGGGGAACUGCGUCUGAUACUGGAUGGCUUGAGUUUGGGAGAGGGAUGCGGAAUUCCAGGUGUAGCGGUGAAAUGCGUAGAUAUCUGGAGGAACACCGGUGGCGAAGGCGGCAUCCUGGACCAACACUGACACUGAUGAGCGAAAGCCAGGGGAGCAAACGGG
rnacentral:rRNA from 1 species